rnacentral:rRNA from 1 species
UACAGGGGGGGGCAAGCGUUGUUCGGAAUUACUGGGCGUAAAGGGUUCGUAGGUGGCCAACUAAGUCAGACGUGAAAUCCCUCAGCUUAACUGGGGAACUGCGUCUGAUACUGGAUGGCUUGAGUGCAGGAGAGGAAUGCGGAAUUCCAGGUGUAGCGGUGAAAUGCGUAGAUAUCUGGAGGAACACCGGUGGCGAAGGCGGCGACCUGGCCCGACAUUGACGCUCAUGCACGAGAGCGUGGG